UACGCUGGCGGCACGCCUAACACAUGCAAGUCGAACGAAGUAGCAAUACUUAGUGGCAAACGGGUGAGUAUAAUGUGGGAAUCUGCCAUUUGGCCUGGAACAACACGAGGAAACUUGUGCUAAUACCGGAUAAGCCUUUACGGGGAAAGCUUUAUGCACCGAAUGAUGAGCCCGCACUUGAUUAGCUAGUUGGUAAGGUAAAAGCUUACCAAGGCUUCGAUCAAUAGCUGAUCUGAGAGGAUGAUCAGCCACAUUGGGACUGAGACACGGCCCAAACUCCUACGGGAGGCAGCAGUGGGGAAUCUUGCACAAUGGGGGAAACCCUGAUGCAGCGAUGCCGCGUGAGUGAAGAAGGCCUUUGGGUUGUAAAGCUCUUUCGUCAGGGAAGAAAAUGACUGUACCUGAAUAAGAAGGUCCGGCUAACUUCGUGCCAGCAGCCGCGGUAAUACGAAGGGACCUAGCGUAGUUCGGAAUUACUGGGCUUAAAGAGCACGUAGGUGGUUAAAAAAGUUGGUGGUGAAAUCCCAAGGCUUAACCUUGGAACUGCCAUCAAAACUUUUUAGCUAGAGUGUGAUAGAGGGAAGCGGAAUUUCUAGUGUAGAGGUGAAAUUCGUAGAUAUUAGAAAGAACACCAAUUGCGAAGGCAGCUUUCUGGAUCACUACUGACACUGAGGUGCGAGAGCAUGGGUAGCGAAGAGGAUUAGAUACCCUCGUAGUCCAUGCCGUAAACGAUGUGUGCUAGACGUUGGAAAUUUUAUUUUCAGUGUCGCAGCAAAAGCAUUAAGCACACCGCCUGGGGAGUACGACC
rnacentral:rRNA from 1 species